rnacentral:misc_RNA from 1 species
GUCAAAACUUCCGCUACCACUGGUACCAACACCCAUCUGUGAGGAGUUCACAGCUACAGAAGCAUCAGCAUUCUCUAGACUUCUUGCUUUCGCAGACACCAUUCCCAAAAUAUCGGAGAGGAUAGAUGAUGGAUUUGACAUACACUGCUGCAAAUCUUCAAGCUUCUUCUCCAAUUCUGCAGAAAGUUCAGUGAGCGUUUCAACUUCAGCUUCUUUAGCAGAUACAGAGUCAGACUGUGAUAUACUGGAAGACUGUCUCGCAAUCUGAUCUACAUCGGUAGUAGCUAAUCUUUCUGUUGAUUCUGACAAAAGCUUUAUUUCCUCAGUGAGUCUCUGCAGCCGCGACUUGCAAGUUAAAAUAGCUUUUUGGCAGUAUGGUAUGGCUUCCUGAUGCUUAGAACCAAUUUCCAGGCAUAAGCAUAUCCUAAAGUUGAGCGCAGCAAUAUGGCGACUGUCAGGUUCAACCAAGCGUUCCAAAAUGGAUAAUGCCUUCAGGUAAUCACUAAGGGAAGUUUCAAUAUCCUCUCUUUCCAAGGCUACCUCAGCCAAAGCUGAUAAUACAUCCACUUUUUCCAUUGUGUCACCAGCGUGCUUUUCAGCAAUUGCCCUUGCAACAUCUAACAGUUUCCAGGCUAAAUCCAGGUCAGUUUCAUCCUCAUCACCUUCAGCCAAGUCCUCGUCAUCACUUUCUUCUUCAUCUCCUUCAUCUUCGUUUUCCUCUGCAGCAUCAUCUUCUACUUUUUCCUUUCCAUUCGAACUUCCACCAGGUUCAGCAGUGCUUGAAAUAGAAGACUCACAACUAACAACACUUUUAACAGAGCCGUCUCUAUUAGAAUCUUGUUGAGACCCGCUGUCCUUUUUUGGCAAAGAAACCAAAGGAUCAGCCUCAUCCUGAGCUUUGUACAGCAAAGCACACCCAUAUUUAUAAUAUGCAUUGAUACAUUCAGGAGCAAGUUCACCAAAAUGUGCGACCCGAAUUUCCAGGGCACGGCUAAAGCAUUCUACGGCUUCUCCAUAAUCUCCAUCUUCAGAUGCCUUGGAGCCUUUUACCACUAACUCAUCCGCGUACUCCAGAGAUUUUUCACGGUUAACAUCAGAAGUAACCGCAGAACUCUCCGCAUUAUUAUUAUUGUUGUUGCAAGUUGAUUCUGUGCCUCCCUGAACACCAGAUUCGAUGGUGGCGUUCACCGAGUUCUGGUUUUGCUCCGCCGUAGGGCUUGUUACUGAAAUUACUGCUUCCUCAGCCAUCGUCUCUUUGAUUAGAAAUAGCUACUCUAAGCGGAAAUUUUAUAAGCCCUUG